GUGCAUGACCAAACUAAGAAGUGCAUGAUCACAUGAUAGUUAACAAAUAACGAGUGCAUGGCCUAGGGUCUUAAGUAUCAGAAUAGUUUAGAAACAUAUAGUCGCCGACACGCUCAUACAAGUUUAGAAUAAGCAGUUAAUUAAUAGACAUAGGAUCAUAGGACAUGAACAUCUAGUGAUCAUCGGCAUCAUCCAUGGGAUCACUUUCCAUGUCAUUUGCUUCCUCAUUGUCCACCUCAUUGUCCUUAUCUCCCUCCUUGUUAUUUUCCUACAAGUAUGCAAAGUCAAUUAAAUUAGAUGUAGCAGCUAGUAUAUUUCAUAGAAAGCAGUCAAUAAACAUACCUCAAUUUUCAGAUUAGCCACAACAUUAGUCAAAGCAUCAACCUCAAGAUCACUCACAAUUGAUCCAAGCUUUUUAGAAUCUGAAAAAAUA
rnacentral:lncRNA from 1 species